AGAGUUUGAUUAUGGCUCAGAAUGAACGCUGGCGGCAUGCCUAAGACAUGCAAGUCGCACGAGAAAGUAAGCAAUAAUGAGUAAAGUGGCGCACGGGUGAGUAAUAUUUAGAUAACGUACCCUUCCGCUGGGGAUAACUAGGCGAAAGCUUAGCUAAUACCGAAUACACCGUCGGAGACUUCGGUCUCUGCCGGGAAAGCCGUAAGGCGCGGAUGGAGCGGUCUGAACCCCAUUAGCUAGUUGGUAGGGUAAAGGCCUACCAAGGCUUCGAUGGGUAGCUGGUCUGAGAGGACGACCAGCCACACUGGAACUGACACACGGUCCAGACUCCUACGGGAGGCAGCAGUUAGGAAUUUUGCGCAAUGGGGGAAACCCUGACGCAGCAAUGCCGCGUGAGUGACGAAGGCCUUCGGGUUGUAAAGCUCUUUUAGUUGGAAAGAAAAAAAUGACNGUACCNCAGAAAAAGCCCGNACC
rnacentral:rRNA from 1 species